GAGUUUGAUCCUGGCUCAGGAUGAACGCUGGCGGCGUGCUUAACACAUGCAAGUCGAACGAAGCACUUUGCUUGAUCCCUUCGGGGUGAUUGCUUUGUGACUGAGUGGCGGACGGGUGAGUAACGCGUGGGUGACCUGCCCCAUACCGGGGGAUAACAGCUGGAAACGGCUGCUAAUACCGCAUAAGCGCACAGGGCUGCAUGGCUCGGUGUGAAAAACUCCGGUGGUAUGGGAUGGGCCCGCGUCUGAUUAGGCAGUUGGCGGGGUAACGGCCCACCAAACCGACGAUCAGUAGCCGGCCUGAGAGGGCGACCGGCCACAUUGGGACUGAGACACGGCCCAAACUCCUACGGGAGGCAGCAGUGGGGAAUAUUGCACAAUGGGGGAAACCCUGAUGCAGCGACGCCGCGUGAGCGAAGAAGUAUUUCGGUAUGUAAAGCUCUAUCAGCAGGGAAGAUAAUGACGGUACCUGACUAAGAAGCCCCGGCUAACUACGUGCCAGCCGCCGCGGUAAUAC
rnacentral:rRNA from 1 species